CCUUAGUAACGGCGAGUGAACAGGCAAGAGCUCAGAUUUGAAAGCCUUUUUGGCAUUGUAUUCUGAAGUAUUUAUCCUGAGUAAUGAUGUCUAAGUCUUCUGGAAAGGAGCGCCAUGGAGGGUGAUAGCCCCGUGUGACAUCCCACUCAUUGUAGGAUUUAUACGUGGAGUCGAGUUGUUUGGGAAUGCAGCUCAAACGGGUGGUAUGCUCCAUCUAAAGCUAAAUAUCUGUGAGAGACCGAUAGCGAACAAGUACUGUGAAGGAAAGAUGAAAAGAACUUUGAAAAGAGAGUGAAAAAGUACGUGAAAUUGUUGAAAUGGAAGGGUAGGCCGCUAACCAUGUAGAACCGUGUUUGGGGGGAAGAUAAAAGCUGAAGAAUGUGGCUCCUCGGAGUGUUAUAGCUUCAGUCAAUAUUCCCAUCCGAGCGCGAGG
rnacentral:rRNA from 1 species